rnacentral:rRNA from 1 species
AUACAGAGGGUGCGAGCGUUAAUCGGAAUUACUGGGCGUAAAGCGCGCGUAGGCGGCUUAUUAAGUCAGAUGUGAAAUCCCAGGGCUCAACCUUGGAACUGCAUCUGAUACUGGUAAGCUAGAGUUUAGGAGAGGGAAGUAGAAUUUCAGGUGUAGCGGUGAAAUGCAUAGAGAUCUGAAGGAAUACCAGUGGCGAAGGCGACUUCCUGGUCUAAAACUGACGCUGAGGUGCGAAAGCGUGGGUAGCAAACGGGAUUAGAAACCCCUGUAGUCC